UGGGUUUGACAUGCACUAGACAUCCCUAGAGAUAGGGCUUCCCUUGUGGUUGGUGUGCAGGUGGUGCAUGGCUGUCGUCAGCUCGUGUCGUGAGAUGUUGGGUUAAGUCCCGCAACGAGCGCAACCCUCGUUCCAUGUUGCCAGCGCGUUAUGGCGGGGACUCAUGGGAGACUGCCGGGGUCAACUCGGAGGAAGGUGGGAUGACGUGUGGAAUGUCGAUA
rnacentral:misc_RNA from 1 species